GUCCGGGGGAAGCUCACUGCCGAGGCCACCCACGGGGUGCGCGUCACCCGCGCCCCGCCUCGGGGAAGGUCUGAGGGAAGGGCCGCCCGCGGCCCCAGCAGGGCCCCGCCCGCGACGGGCGGGUGAGCCACCAGCAAGGGGGGGCGCGGCGCGGGCCGGCCUGGGCAGGAGAAGCCGCGGCGGCUCCGCUCCCCGCGGGGCCCGGAAUCAGCAUACAUUGUAGUGC
ensembl:ribozyme RNaseP_nuc Nuclear RNase P